UACGUAGGUGGCAAGCGUUAUCCGGAUUUACUGGGUGUAAAGGGCGUGUAGGCGGGAAGGCAAGUCAGAUGUGAAAACUAUGGGCUCAACCCAUAGCCUGCAUUUGAAACUGUUUUUCUUGAGUGAUGGAGAGGCAGGCGGAAUUCCGUGUGUAGCGGUGAAAUGCGUAGAUAUACGGAGGAACACCAGUGGCGAAGGCGGCCUGCUGGACAUUAACUGACGCUGAGGCGCGAAAGCGUGGGGAGCAAACAGG
rnacentral:rRNA from 2 species